CGCGUACACAUUCGAGUCGUAUUGAAAGACUGGAGCGCGCGCGAGAGAGCAGAUGACAUGGGAACGAGGAAACGUCAUCAACUGACAAACAGCAAAACUAGCGUCUCUCGCUGUUGUUUUCACUGCUUUCAGAAAUGGUUUUGUGUCUUCGAAAAAGUCCGUUAGCAUCUCAACCGUUUCCAGAAGAGAUCAUCAUGCUGAUGGCCUUCUGCACCCCCUGUCCAAGACAAUCUCCACGGCUAUCCAUGAGCAAAACCUCAAACACACAGUGCACUACUUUUCAGAAGUUUGGGGUCUGUAAGAUUUAUGCUUUUGAAAGAAAUCUCACUUUUUAAAAUCAUUAACUCCAGGUUUUUUCAAUGAGAUUAUCCUUGAGAAGCCUGUAGGCUAAAUAAUCAGCUAAAUAUUAAGCGACAAAUAUAAUGGUCGUAGUUAUAAUAAUUCAUUUAACUAUUAUGAUAACAGGAUAUCAUGGUCAUUGGUAUAUUUUCUUUCUCUAGAUCUGUUUUGAAUUAUGUUGGCCAAUGAGACAGACACCAUACUGUCCAACUCAAAGAUGAGAUGUAAUCCCUAGCGUUUGGCCCUGUGAUUCUUCAGGACAAGAUCUUGAUGCCAUCCACACUCAGUAGAUGAAGAAGAUCCUAGACCACCAAGCCUAAAGGAGACCUUACAAAGUAAGUGCAAAAAAUAUAUUACUCACAGAUAUCUGAAAUCUAUCAUGGUCCAUAUUUACCAAAGUAUAGGCCCUGAUGCAAGUGGG